GGGUCAGUAGGGUGGUCGUGCCACCGGUACGUACUGGUCUCACUGAUUCCUCCUUCCUGAAGAACCGUAAUCCCAUUAAUUUGGUGUUGCGGGGAAUCAGGACUGUUACUUUGAAAAAAUUAGAGUGUUUAAAGCAAGCUAACGCUUGAAUACAUUAGCAUGGAAUAAUGAAAUAGGACGAUCGAUCCUAUUUUGUUGGUUUCUAGGAUUGACGUA
rnacentral:rRNA from 1 species